rnacentral:rRNA from 1 species
CCAGGCUUGAACAGCGAGUGACCAUCUCCGAAAGGGGACUUCCGCAAGGACACUCGUAGAGGUGCUGCAUGGCUGUCGUCAGCUCGUGUCGUGAGAUGUUGGGUUAAGUCCCGCAACGAGCGCAACCCUUGUUUGCUGUUGCCAUCACGUUAUGGUGGGCACUCUGCAAAGACUGCCGGUGAUAAACCGGAGGAAGGUGGGGAUGACGUCAAGUCAGCAUGGCCUUUAUGUCUGGGGCUACACACGUGCUACAAUGGCAGAUACAAACCGUCGCGAGACCGCAAGGUGGAGCUAAUCGGAGAAAGUCUGUCUCAGUUCGGAUCGUAGGCUGCAACUCGCCUGCGUGAAGUUGGAAUCGCUAGUAAUCGCGGAUCAGCACGCCGCGGUGAAUACGUUCCC